UGUAAAAUUUAAGAGCAUUUUUGUUUCUUAGGAUUAAUCAGUCUAAUUUAAACACAUGAUCGAUUUAAAAUAUCUGUACAUUUUUUAUUUCUAAAAAAAAAUUUUAGAGUUAUGAAAUAAAUUAAAUAAAAAAUGUUGUUUUUGUUUAGGACCAGUUCAGAGAAAGAUGGGUGAAACUUAAAAUAGGAUUGAGCCAAAGUUGAACCAGUCUGUUGGGAUAUUUUUCGUAUUUACAAUAAGUAAGAAGACAAAGAAGAUUUCCUUAACUAAUAAUGCACAGAUCCUUUUUCUUGGCUCAUGGACUUCUUUUCCAGGAAGACAAAGAUAGCUAGAUUUUUGAAAGGAAUGUUAUCCGUCUACGGUCUGAGUCAACAUGGCCUUCUGUGCCCUGAAUGUGAUAUCUUUGUUAAAAAAUAAAUAAAAAAAAAUAAAAAAAAGAAUUUUUAAAAAAAAUAAAAUUAA